rnacentral:rRNA from 1 species
GAGUUUGAUCUUGGCUCAGAUUGAACGCUGGCGGCAGGCCUAACACAUGCAAGUCGAGCGGUAGAGAGAAGCUUGCUUCUCUUGAGAGCGGCGGACGGGUGAGUAAUGCCUAGGAAUCUGUCUGGUAGUGGGGGAUAACGCUCGGAAACGGACGCUAAUACCGCAUACGUCCUACGGGAGAAAGCAGGGGACCUUCGGGCCUUGCGCUAUCAGAUGAGCCUAGGUCGGAUUAGCUAGUUGGUGAGGUAAUGGCUCACCAAGGCGACGAUCCGUAACUGGUCUGAGAGGAUGAUCAGUCACACUGGAACUGAGACACGGUCCAGACUCCUACGGGAGGCAGCAGUGGGGAAUAUUGGACAAUGGGCGAAAGCCUGAUCCAGCCAUGCCGCGUGUGUGAAGAAGGUCUUCGGAUUGUAAAGCACUUUAAGUUGGGAGGAAGGGCAGUAAAUUAAUAACUUUGCUGUUUUGACGUUACGACAGAAUAAGCACCGGCUAACUCUGUGACAGCACG